GGCCUAAAGCGUUCGUAGCUGGUUUAGUAAAUCUUUUGUGAAAUUGUUUGGCUCAACCAAACAACGUGCAGGGGACACUGCUUUACUUGAGACCGGGAGGAGUUAGGAGUAUUCUUGGGGAACCGGUAAAAUGGGAUAAUCCUAAGAAGACUACCUGUGGCGAAGGCGCCUAACUAGAACGGUUCUGACAGUGAGGAACGAAGGCUAGGGGAGCGAACCGGAUUAGAUACCCGAGUAGUCCUAGCAGUAAACGCUGCGAGCCAGGUGUUGCACAUUCUUUAUGAAUGUGCAGUGUCGUAAUGAAGAUGUUAAGCUCGCCGCCUGGGAAGUAUGGUCGCAAGACUGAAACUUAAAGGAAUUGGCGGGGGAGCACCACAAGGGGUGCGGCGUGCGGUUUAAUCUAACUCAACGCAGAGAAUCUCACCAGAGGCGACGGCAGUAUGAAGGUCAGUCUGAAGGGCUUACCCGACGAGCCGAGAGGUGGUGCAUGGUCGCCGUCAGCUCGUGCCGUAAGGUGUCCUGUUAAGUCAGGUAACGAGCGAGACCUGUACCUACAAUUGCUAGCGACUAACUUGUUAGGAUCGAGCACAAUGUAGGGACUGCCUUGGAAACAAGGAGGAAGGUGCAGGCUACGGUAGGUCUGUAUGCCCCGAAUCUUCUGGGCUACACGCGCGCAACAAUGGUAAGGACAAUGGGUCGCGACUCCGAAAGGAGAAGCUAAUCCUCUAAACCUUAUCUCAGUCCAGAUUGAGGGCUGUAACUCGCCCUCAUAACGCCGGAAUCCCUAGUAAUCCUAUGUCAUCAUCGUGGGGUGAAUAUGU
rnacentral:rRNA from 1 species